rnacentral:rRNA from 1 species
AGAGAGAGACAUGCGCGCAUAUCAAUAAGCGGAGGAAAAGAAACUAACAAGGAUUCCCCUAGUAACGGCGAGUGAAGCGGGAAGAGCUCAAAUUUGAAAUCUUAAAGGGUUUCCCUUUACGAAUUGUAGUUUAAAGAAGUGUUUUCUGUUGAGGUUUUGGUAAAAGUUCUUUGGAAUAGGACAUCAUAGAGGGUGAGAAUCCCGUAUUUGACCUUUACUUUCAACUUUGUGAUACACUUUCAAAGAGUCGGAUUGUUUGGGAAUGCAGUCCAAAAUGGGUAGGUAAAUUUCAUCUAAAGCUAAAUAUUGGCGAGAGACCGAUAGCGAACAAGUACCGUGAGGGAAAGAUGAAAAGAACUUUGAAAAGAGAGUUAAACAGUACGUGAAAUUGUCAAAAGGGAAGCGUUUGACACCAGUGUUGUUUUUCUGAAAAUCAAUUAAAGAACUGUUUAUGCUAAGCUGUUUAGACUUUAUCAGCUAACUGUUUAGUUUUGAGCUUUUCUUUAAUGCACUUUUCAGUUAACAAGUCAACAUCAAUUUCUUUUGCUGUAAAAAAGCUUGAGGAAGGUGGCUUGAGAUUCGUCUUAAGUGUUUAUAGCCUCUUGCCUAUGCAGUCGGAGAGAUUGAGGUCUGCAGCGUAGAUCCUUCGGGGCUAAAUGCAUUUGUGCUAAGUUAUAGCAUUUUAUAGACAACUUGUUGACUAUGAUUUGUCUUGUAGCUUACUCGCUUAUGUUAUUUUACCUACGCUUAGGAUGUUGAGCGCAUGUCUCUCUCU